rnacentral:rRNA from 1 species
AGCGAACGCUGGCGGCAGGCUUAACACAUGCAAGUCGAACGGGCAUAGCAAUAUGUCAGUGGCAGACGGGUGAGUAACGCGUGGGAACAUACCUCUUGGUUCGGAACAACACAGGGAAACUUGUGCUAAUACCGGAUAAGCCCUUACGGGGAAAGAUUUAUCGCCGAGAGAUUGGCCCGCGUCUGAUUAGCUAGUUGGUGUGGUAAAAGCGCACCAAGGCGACGAUCAGAGCUGGUCUGAGAGGAUGAUCAGCCACAUUGGGACUGAGACACGGCCCAAACUCCUACGGGAGGCAGCAGUGGGGAAUAUUGGACAAUGGGCGCAAGCCUGAUCCAGCCAUGCCGCGUGAGUGAUGAAGGCCUUAGGGUUGUAAAGCUCUUUUGUACGGG